GGGCCCGCACAAGCGGUGGAGCAUGUGGUUUAAUUCGAUGAUACGCGAGGAACCUUACCAGGGCUUAAAUGCAGUCUGACGUAUCUGGAAACAGAUAUUUCUUCGGACAGAUUGCAAGGUGCUGCAUGGUUGUCGUCAGCUCGUGCCGUGAGGUGUCAGGUUAAGUCCUAUAACGAGCGCAACCCCUGUGGUUAGUUGCCAGCGAGUAAUGUCGGGAACUCUAGCCAGACUGCCGGUGCAAACCGCGAGGAAGGUGGGGAUGACGUCAAAUCAUCACGGCCCUUACGUCCUGGGCUACACACGUGCUACAAUGGUAGGGACAGAGAGCAGCCACUGGGCGACCAGGAGCGAAUCUACAAACCCUAUCACAGUUCGGAUCGCAGUCUGCAACUCGACUGCGUGAAGCUGGAAUCGCUAGUAAUCG
rnacentral:rRNA from 1 species